UGAUACUAUUAUUGUUAUUAUUAACUAGUUU
rnacentral:piRNA from 1 species